GGGAAGUUGGCUCAGUGGUAGAGCGCUUGCCUCACAUGCAUGAGGCCCUGGGUUGAACUCCUCA
rnacentral:tRNA from 1 species